rnacentral:rRNA from 1 species
UGGGGAAUAUUGCGCAAUGGGCGAAAGCCUGACGCAGCGACGCCGCGUGAGGGAUGAAGGUCCUCGGAUCGUAAACCUCUGUCAGAAGGGAAGAAGUUACAUCAAUCUAAUCAAUGGUGUAUUGACGGUACCUUCAAAGGAAGCACCGGCUAACUCCGUGCCAGCAGCCGCGGUAAUACGGAGGGUGCGAGCGUUAAUCGGAAUUACUGGGCGUAAAGCGCACGUAGGCUGUAUGUCAAGUCAAGGGGUGAAAUCCCCUGGGCUCAACCUGGGGAACUGCCUUUGAAACUGGCAAACUGGAGUAUGUGAGAGGGCGGCGGAAUUCCUGGUGUAGGAGUGAAAUCCGUAGAUAUCAGGAGGAACAUCAGUGGCGAAGGCGGCCGCCAUGGCACAAAAGCUGACGCUGAGGUGCGAAAGCGUGGGGUAGCAAACAGGAUUAGAUACC